rnacentral:rRNA from 1 species
GAUGAACGCUGGCGGCGUGCCUAAUACAUGCAAGUCGAGCGAACAGACGAGGAGCUUGCUCCUCUGACGUUAGCGGCGGACGGGUGAGUAACACGUGGAUAACCUACCUAUAAGACUGGGAUAACUUCGGGAAACCGGAGCUAAUACCGGAUAAUAUAUUGAACCGCAUGGUUCAAUAGUGAAAGACGGUUUUGCUGUCACUUAUAGAUGGAUCCGCGCCGCAUUAGCUAGUUGGUAAGGUAACGGCUUACCACGGCAACGAUGCGUAGCCGACCUGAGAGGGUGAUCGGCCACACUGGAACUGAGACACGGUCCAGACUCCUACGGGAGGCAGCAGUAGGGAAUCUUCCGCAAUGGGCGGAAGCCUGACGGAGCAACGCCGCGUGAGUGAUGAAGGUCUUCGGAUCGUAAAACUCUGUUAUUAGGGAAGAACAAAUGUGUAAGUAACUAUGCACGUCUUGACGGUACCUAAUCAGAAAGCCACGGCUAACUACGUG